rnacentral:lncRNA from 1 species
GUAACAGGGAAAAUUUGGAACUGGUCAUUGCUGUUGCAAGAAUGAGAAGUGUAACAAGUGGAUAAGAGAGGAAAGAAGUUCGGGUAACCAGCAGAUGCAGAGUUUAAGUACGGUGCCGACUACGUAAGACCUCAUUACAUGAAUGGACAACCCUAACCAGAAACAAUUAUGACCUCUUAUUUAUGGAGCCUUUCAUCACAUAUGAUUUUUCUGCAAAAACAGACUGAAUCAGGGAAGAAGCUGUGUGCUAACAAGGCACAGCAGCAAGAGUUAACAGCUGUCCCCUGAACAUCAAGUCUUGCCCAGAAGGACACAGGCCCCGCUCCUCCUGUACGUGCAGACCUUCUUCCAGGCUCCCCUGUCCAUGUGUUUCUGCCACGGCUCACAAAAGCAGGCGUUCUGAGCACCAACGGGG